rnacentral:misc_RNA from 1 species
UGGUAUGAUAUCAACCCAUCUCCUCACCAUGACCUCCAUGCUCUCCAAAAUCACCAUGAAAUCAGAGACCUUGGUUUUUGUGCUAACCCCACACCUGAAAAUCUUCUCUUACAGCCUAUGGACUCUUCCUCUUCUUGCUCUCCCUCGCAGGCCUUUACUCUAGACCCAGCACAGGCACACCAGCCUUUUUUCCCCCCCAAAUCCUGCUUCUCUUCCCUUCUCAAUGUCACCAACGC